ACACUGAAGUACAUGGUGGGAAAUAAUGUGAGAAUCAUUAACUGUUCGUGCAACGGUAUUUUUUAUUUAAAUAAAAAAAAGUCUGAGCGCCACCCAGUGU
ncrna:unclassified sequences AdoCbl variant RNA